CUGGCCUGAAGUAUGGAUCUUGCCAUGGCUUUCUGACUUGAAAAUGUAUGGGAUGUUUCACUAUGAUGUUGAUUCCCAAGGUGAGUCUGGGAAAGGAUUGAGCACAUUUUCCCCAGGACAGCUCCAUGCAUUUUCUAUUCCUGAUCAAGAUCUAUUCAUUGGGCAAGUGCUGUUUAAUCAAGCAACAGGAAAAGGGUGUGUGCUGUCUUCAGAAGUACAAAGAAAUCUCAUUCAAAGACAGUCCCGUUCUUAAAAGGCUGGUGUUUAAAUUAGACCUGCCCAGACAGGUCUGGCAUGUUUUGUGUGACCCCCUUUUUACUGUGGAUGUUCCGGUUACAACUAUCUUACUGCUUCCAUUUGGAAUAAAAACACAACUGCUAUUAAAAACAUAGACCGA